ensembl:lncRNA
AUUUUUAUUAUAGUGACUGGGAGCACUUACUAGCUGGGACCAGGGAUGAUAGAUGAUCUUUGAUGUACUUCUUGGGUCCUCCGUGGAGAAACUGACCGCUGGCAGGCCUCUGUUUGGAAACCAGGGAAGUAGGAAAUGUGGAUCUCCACCUCUCCUGUCAGGAAGUCUUUAUUGGCUUAUGAUGGGAAAGACGAGAGGAGUCUGGGAGCUGGGAGUCGCUGAAGCACUAGGCAAUUACUAAGAAUUGACUCUGAUGCACUCUUCACUGUGCAGGACCCUGGGCAUAAAAAAAUGAGGGAGAAGGGGCUGGGGAUUUAGCUCAGUGGUAGAGCGCUUGCCUAGCAAGAGCAAGGCCCUGGGUUCGGUUCCCAGCUCCGGAAAGAAAAAAAAGGAAAAAAAAAUGAGGGAGAGCUGCUCUUGCUCUGGAGGCUUGCCCUUGGGUGAAGAAAUAAUGAAUGAAUGAAUGAAUGAAUGAAUGAAUGAACAAAUACUUACCUUUUAAGAAAAAAAAUGAGGUAUGGACUCAUAGAACCCAGGAUGACCUCGAACUCCCAAUCCUCCUGCCUCCAGCUUCCAAAUGCUGGGAUUACAGUUGUGUCCCACCAUGCCCAGUUUAAUCUAUUAAGCUGACUGGAACAUGGCGGCACACACCUUUAGUCCCAGCACUGGGGAGGCGGAAGCAAGCAGAUGGGCAGUGUUUGAAGCCAGCAUAGUCUAUGCAGUGAGUUCCAGGACAGCUAGGGAUAAAGGUGAGACCCUGUCUCAAACAAAAGCAAACAAGCAUUCCCGCUGACUGUCAGAUAUUUUUGCGGCCUUUCUGCCCCAUGUAAUCAAAUGCCGAGACUGUUUCCUAUGAUUAGUUCCUCUGAAUAAGAAAACCAAGGGUCAGGGGUUACCUGAUAUGCCUGGAUUACUCAGAUGCACAUAGUAGAGCUGAUCUACACAGAGCCCAUGGUCUCUUCACUAGACUUCAUUAUCUCUGGGUUUUGGAAAAGGGUGGGGUGUGUGUGUGUGUGUGUGUGUGUGUGUGUGUGUGUGUGUGUGUGUGCUCUCUACUUAACAGCAAAAAGAUGCCCUAGAACCCUCCGCCAAACUGAGGAAUCUAAAGGAAAGGGGCAGGGUGACAUCUACUGAGAGUUCCCUCUGACCAGGUUUGUGUUGAAUGGAAACAAAAUAUGGAGUGAAGGUGAUGGAGAGAUGGCUCAGUGGUUAGGGGCCCUGACUGCUCUCUUCCAGAGGACUUGGGUUCAAUUCCCAGCAACCACAUGGCCGCUCACAACUGUCUGUACUCCAAGAUCUGACACUCUCGCACAGGCAGAACACCAAUGCACGCAAAAUAAAAAUAAACAAAUUAAAGAUUAAAAUAAAAUUUAGAUGGAGAGAAUCCAGGCAAACACUCAGGUACCAAAGCAUCUUCAGGCCAUAGGGGUCCUAGCCAGCCAAAUUCACUAGAACCUGAUAUGCAAGCCAGAAGGUAGUGUUGUUUCUCUCUUCCUGCCCUGGGGUUAAAUAGUAAGAGCACAGCUCUGUAGCCGUUUCCCACUGUGAACCCUGCCACUGUGAACCCUGCCACUGUGAAUCCUGCUUCUACCACUUGCUGGCUCUGUGGUUCUAUGCGAGUGUUUAAUUUCGCCAAGCUCCAGUUUUGCUCAACUGUGAAGUAGCAUUAAAUGUUUUAAUACACGUCAGCUGUUUGCCACUGUCAUUUACAGAAUGUUGACUCUGUGCCAGGGGUCCUGCUAAGGGCGCGCCGCCAUUUCAGCCUCGGAGAACCUAGAAAAACAGGCGGCUGUUCUGAUAAACUGAGGUACUGUGAGGUAACCCGUAAACCCUGUCUACGGUGCUCAGGUUCCUUAGUGCCGGAAUCGUGAGCAUGUACCGUCAUGCCUGACCUAAGUCAGAAUUUUUGAAGGUGUCCAGGACAUUAAGCUGGUAGAUCAGGGGCUGAGACCAAGUCUCUGGUCCCGGAUUUAGCACUCAGACUCCGCAGCCUUUUCCUGGAACCAAGAUAUUCUUGUCUGCCUCCUGGGGCUCUGCCUGCUGCCUUCUGCCCGUGCGGUUUCAGUGAAGGCCCAGCAGUGUAGGGAACCAUCUGGAGCGCUCCAGGGCCCUUGCUGCUCUUCAGCCGACCAGACCCUCCCUGGGUCUACAGGUUCCCCCAUCACUCCAGAGCAGCUGGAUGAACCUCCCCGGCACCCCCCGUUUCAGUACCGCCUUCUGUUCCCUCCAGAUAGAACACAAUGCGAUUGAUUAAGCUAAAGCUCUCUCCGUUUCAAUCACAUCCUCUCUCGCCCUGCCUCCCUGAGAUUACAGGGCCGGUCACCUUGAUUGCGGCUCACUCCGUUCACAAAAACUCAUCGGUCGUUUACAAAACCAUCUCUCGCCUCAUUCACUCCCCCACCUGGCUCCUCUCCUCCGUGGUGUGUAGAUUUUACUGGCUUACAGCUCAGAGGGUGAUUUUUAUCUCCGGGUCUAUGCUGGGGGAGGGCACCUAAUUGACUGGUGCGGGUUGUUUCACUUGCAUGGUCUAAUUUGAUCUUCACCACUAGGCUCUGCGGCAAAGGGAGUUUAUCACCAUUUACAGAAAAGGAAAGGAAGGUUCCGACCCUCCCCCAAGGUCAGUCAGUGAGAUGAUAGGGUCUGGGUUUGAACUCUAGGACUCAUGCAUUCCACUGGCAUGCAUGAUAGAGCUGUAUGGCAAAAUCUAACACUGGCCCACGGAGGCUGUAGAUACAGUGUGGACCCACGGUGUCUCUGUACAUGCUGCCGGUUGCACUGGAUUGGGACCAGGGAGAUGAUGGCUCCAUGUUUAAGAGUGUUUUCACCUGGGUUCGGUCCCCAGCUCCAAAAAAAAGAACCAAAAAAAAAAAAAAAAAAAAAAAAAGUGUUUUCAGCUCUUGCAAAGGACCUGGGUUCAAGUCACAGCACCCACAUCUGGAAGCUCAUAGAUGAGUGAAACUAUUUCAUGGGAUUCGAUGCUCCCUGGCCUCUGAGGACACCUGCACUCACUUGUGCACACUAACUCAUGCAUACAUACAUAAUACAUACAUACAUACAUGUAAAAAUAAAAUAAAUGAGCCCCAAAUUUAGUCAUUUGUCCAUUUCAUAUACACCUAUUUUUGUGUUGUUUUGUUUGUAGUUUUUGUUUUUUUUUUCUUUUUUUCUUUUUGGAGCUGGGGACUGAACCCAGGGCCUUGCGCUUGAUAGGCAAGCGCUCUACCACUGAGCUAAAUCCCCAACCCCUGUUUGUAGUUUUUGAUGGACUCUGUGAUUGUUUGUAUGUGCUUGGCCCAGGGAGUGGCACGAUUAGGAGGUGUGGCCCUGUUGGAGUAGGUGUGCCACUGUGGGCAUGGGUUUACGACCCUUACCCUAGCUGCCUGGAAGUCAGUCUUCCACUAGCAGCCUUCAGAUGAAGAUGUAGAACCCUCAGCUCCUCCUGCACCAAUCCUGCCUGGAUGCUGCCAUGUUCUUACCUUGAGGAUAAUGGACUGAACCUCUGAACCUGUAAGCCAGCCCCAAUUAAAUGUUGUUCUAAUAAGAGUUGCCUUGGUCAUGGUGUCUACUCACAGCAAUUAAACCCCAACUAAGACAGAAGUUGUUUUCUCUUUGUUGUUGUCGUCAUUGUUCUUGCUGUUUUGAGAUGGACUGGGUCUAUGUAGCCCAGGCUGGCCUUGAACUCAAAAUCCUCUUGUUGCUGCUCCAUUUUGCAUGCAUUUCGUGUUGUCUCUAUAAGGCUGGUCUUGUCCAGGAAGCAUGACAGUUAAGCAUUACAACACAUAGCAGCAAGGCUAGUGUAGGAGCCCAGGGAGAUUUCUUGGAGUAUGUAGAAUGAAUUGACUCUGAGGAAACAGAAGAAUGAGGUCAUCCCAGUUGAAAGAAUAGCAUGUGCAAAGGCCCUGAGGAAUAGCCGAAGGAGACUCAUUCAGGCAAAUGCAAAGGACUACAUAUGGAAUGGUAGGGAGCUUAGAUGAAGCACAGGACAGGAGG